GAGGAUAUAGCUCAGCUGGGAGAGCAUUUGGUUUACACCCAAAAUGUCACAGGUUCGAUCCCUGUUAUCCUCA
rnacentral:tRNA from 1 species